UACGGGGGGGGCAAGCGUUGUUCGGAAUUACUGGGCGUAAAGGGCUCGUAGGCGGCCAACUAAGUCAGACGUGAAAUCCCUCGGCUUAACCGGGGAACUGCAUCUGAUACUGGAUGGCUUGAGUUCGGGAGAGGGAUGCGGAAUUCCAGGUGUAGCGGUGAAAUGCGUAGAUAUUGGGAAGAACACCGAUGGCGAAGGCAGCCAUCUGGACCGACACUGACGCUGAGGCGCGAAAGCGUGGGGAGCAAACAGG
rnacentral:rRNA from 1 species